GGAAGUUAUACUAGAAUAGGCAGCCCAGGCUUCCGGUUCUAGGUGCUUCAGGAGCCGUGGCUUAAGGUGCAGACAUGGCCAAGUCCACACCAUACACCACCAGUCCCGAAAAUGGCACAGAAAUGGUAUCAAGAAACCGCGAUCACAAAGAUACAAAUCUCUUAAGGGGGUGGACUCCAAGUUCCUGAGGAACAUGCGCUUUGCCAAGAAGCACAAAAGAAGGGCCUAAAGAAGAUGCACACCAACAAUGCCAAGGCCAUGAGUCCACGUGCCGAGGCUCUCAAGGCCCUCGUAAAGCCCAAGGAGGUUAAGCCCAAGAUCCCAAAGGGUGUCAGCCAUAAACUUGAUCGACUUGCCUACAUUGCCCACCCCAACCUUGGGAAGCUUGCUCGUGCCCGCAUGGCCAAGGGGCUCAGGCUGUGCCGGCCCAAGGCCAAGGCCAAGGAUCAAACCAAGGCCCAGGCUGCAGCUCCAGCUUCAGUUUCAGCUCAGGCUCCCAAAGCUGCCCAGUGCCCUACAAAGACUUCAGAGUAGAUAUCUCUGUCUGCCAACGUGAGGACAGAAGGACAGGUGCCACCCACCCCGGGCUGCCGUCUGCAUGGGGCUGGGGUCCUCCUGCGCUAUUGGUACAAAUAAGCCUGAGGCAGAAAAAAAAAA
ensembl:lncRNA RPL29P2 ribosomal protein L29 pseudogene 2